rnacentral:tRNA from 2 species
GUAAACAUAAUUUAAUUAAAAUACUAGGUUGUGGUCCUAGACAUGAAGAUUGACCCCCUUCUGUUCACC